GUCACGAGGAAACACGACAGAAACAAAAGCAUCCGUUUCAGGGUCCAGCACUGGAACCUCUGACACAGUUUCCGGGUUCUGUAUGUGCGUGUUCCUCUCAGAAAACGUUAUCUGGUUAUAUUAUCCAAAAUCAAGACUUUUCACCUCAAAACUGGCUUGGG